rnacentral:rRNA from 1 species
UACGUAGGGUGCAAGCGUUGUCCGGAAUUAUUGGGCGUAAAGAGCUCGUAGGCGGCUUGUCGCGUCGGCUGUGAAAUCCCGUGGCUCAACUGCGGGUCUGCAGCCGAUACGGGCAGGCUAGAGUUCGGUAGGGGAGACUGGAAUUCCUGGUGUAGCGGUGAAAUGCGCAGAUAUCAGGAGGAACACCGGUGGCGAAGGCGGGUCUCUGGGCCGAUACUGACGCUGAGGAGCGAAAGCGUGGGGAGCGAACAGG